GGAUUUUGGAUUUUUGAAAGAUUUAAACAUUGUUCCUUUGAAAAGGGUUUUGAACGAUUUCCUAUUGGUUUUAAAAGAUUCAUAAGGCAAUGAUAAUCACUGAGCUUGAAAACAAUUUUCUUAUUAAAUAUCUUCCUA